rnacentral:rRNA from 1 species
GGGCCCGCACAAGCGGUGGAGUAUGUGGUUUAAUUCGAUGCAACGCGAAGAACCUUACCAGGGUUUGACAUCCUGCGAAUCUCUUGGAAACAGGAGAGUGCCUUCGGGAACGCAGUGACAGGUGGUGCAUGGCUGUCGUCAGCUCGUGUCGUGAGAUGUUGGGUUAAGUCCCGCAACGAGCGCAACCCACGUCUUUAGUUGCCAGCAUUUAGUUGGGCACUCUAGAGAGACUGCCGGUGAUAAACCGGAGGAAGGUGUGGAUGACGUCAAGUCAUCAUGCCCCUUACAUCCUGGGCUACACACGUACUACAAUGGUUAAGACAAAGAGUUGCGAGCUCGUGAGAGUCAGCUAA